GGGAGCUUGCUCCUGGAUUCAGCGGCGGACGGGUGAGUAAUGCCUAGGAAUCUGCCUGGUAGUGGGGGAUAACGUCCGGAAACGGGCGCUAAUACCGCAUACGUCCUGAGGGAGAAAGUGGGGGAUCUUCGGACCUCACGCUAUCAGAUGAGCCUAGGUCGGAUUAGCUAGUUGGUGGGGUAAAGGCCUACCAAGGCGACGAUCCGUAACUGGUCUGAGAGGAUGAUCAGUCACACUGGAACUGAGACACGGUCCAGACUCCUACGGGAGGCAGCAGUGGGGAAUAUUGGACAAUGGGCGAAAGCCUGAUCCAGCCAUGCCGCGUGUGUGAAGAAGGUCUUCGGAUUGUAAAGCACUUUAAGUUGGGAGGAAGGGCAGUAAGUUAAUACCUUGCUGUUUUGACGUUACCAACAGAAUAAGCACCGGCUAACUUCGUGCCAGCAGCCGCGGUAAUACGAAGGGUGCAAGCGUUAAUCGGAAUUACUGGGCGUAAAGCGCGCGUAGGUGGUUCAGCAAGUUGGAUGUGAAAUCCCCGGGCUCAACCUGGGAACUGCAUCCAAAACUACUGAGCUAGAGUACGGUAGAGGGUGGUGGAAUUUCCUGUGUAGCGGUGAAAUGCGUAGAUAUGGGAAGGAACACCAUUGGCGAAGGCGACCACCUGGACUGAUACUGACACUGAGGUGCG
rnacentral:rRNA from 1 species